AGUGAACGCUGGCGGUAGGCCUAACACAUGCAAGUCGAACGGCAGCACAGUAAGAGCUUGCUCUUACGGGUGGCGAGUGGCGGACGGGUGAGGAAUACAUCGGAAUCUACUUUUUCGUGGGGGAUAACGUAGGGAAACUUACGCUAAUACCGCAUACGACCUACGGGUGAAAGUAGGGGAUCUUCGGACCUUGCGCGAUUGAAUGAGCCGAUGUCGGAUUAGCUAGUUGGCGGGGUAAAGGCCCACCAAGGCGACGAUCCGUAGCUGGUCUGAGAGGAUGAUCAGCCACACUGGAACUGAGACACGGUCCAGACUCCUACGGGAGGCAGCAGUGGGGAAUAUUGGACAAUGGGCGCAAGCCUGAUCCAGCCAUACCGCGUGGGUGAAGAAGGCCUUCGGGUUGUAAAGCCCUUUUGUUGGGAAGGAAAAGCAGCAGGUUAAUACCCCGCUGUUCUGACGGUACCCAAAGAAUAAGCACCGGCUAACUUCGUG
rnacentral:rRNA from 1 species